rnacentral:lncRNA from 1 species
AAACUUAGGAGGAGCGGGAUGAAGAUAAUUUCAGUGGAUUAUAUGAGGAGUGUUAUGUACAAAAGGUUAGUUAGAAAAGACGUGGGAGAAGGAACUCAAGUUCUACCAGAAGAUUAAACUAGAUGAGUAGAAAAGAUAUGUUAACGCCGAAGAAUAUUAAUGAGUUAAGGAAAGGUAUGACUGUAACGCAUAUGGGAAUACCAAGGUUGUUAAGAUAUCGGAGGAUGUAUCAAUACAUAAAGUGUGAUGUCGUCAUACAAGAGUACUCCGUUAGUGAAUCAAGCUUGGUAUAGACAGACAUGUUGAAUCCUCAGUUGUUGGACAUAAGAA